rnacentral:rRNA from 1 species
GGAAGAGCACAAAUUUUAAAUCUAUCUGGUUCUACCAGGUCGAGUUGUAAUUUGAAGAAACGUUUUUAAUGUUCCGGGUUGGUUUAAAUCCUUUGGGAUAAGGUAUCAUGGAGGGUGAGAAUCCCGUGUAUAUCAACCGCUGGGAUGUUAUUAAUACGUUCUCUAAGAGUCGAGUUGUUUGGGAAUGCAGCUCUAAAUGGGUGGUAAAUUUCACCUAAUGCUAAAUAUAAGCGAGAGACCGAUAGCGAACAAGUACCGUGAGGGAAAGAUGAAAAGAACUUUGAAAAGAGAGUUAAAUAGUACGUGAAAUUGUUGAAAGGGAAACGAUUGAAGUCAGUCAUGCCGGUGAGAAUCAACUUUGGGGAAGGGGGAUUUUUUUGAACCUAACCUUGAAGUGCACUUCUUCGCUUGGCAGGUUAGCGUCGAUUUUAAACGUCAUAAAAUGAUUGGGGGAAGGUAGCUCUUUCGGGAGUGUUAUAGCCCUUAAUUAAUGUG